rnacentral:rRNA from 1 species
CCGCACGGGUGAGUAACACGUAUCCAACCUGCCGUCUACUCUUGGACAGCCUUCUGAAAGGAAGAUUAAUACAAGAUGGCAUCAUGAGUCCGCAUGUUCGCAUGAUUAAAGGUAUUCCGGUAGACGAUGGGGAUGCGUUCCAUUAGAUAGUAGGCGGGGUAACGGCCCACCUAGUCUUCGAUGGAUAGGGGUUCUGAGAGGAAGGUCCCCCACAUUGGAACUGAGACACGGUCCAA